AACGAACGCUGGCGGCAGGCUUAACACAUGCAAGUCGAACGCAUCGCAAGAUGAGUGGCAGACGGGUGAGUAACGCGUGGGAACAUACCCCUUUCUACGGAAUAGCUCUGGGAAACUGGAAUUAAUACCGUAUACGCCCUACGGGGGAAAGAUUUAUCGGGGAAGGAUUGGCCCGCGGUGGAUUAGCUAGUUGGUGGGGUAAAGGCCUACCAAGGCGACGAUCCAUAGCUGGUCUGAGAGGAUGAUCAGCCACAUUGCGACUGAGACACGGCCCAAACUCCUACGGGAGGCAGCAGUGGUGAAUAUGGGACAAUGGGCGCAAGCCUUGUCCAGCCAUGCCGCGUGAGUGAUGAAGGCCUUAGGGUUGUAAAGCUCUUUCACCGAUGAAGAGAAUGACGGUAGUCGGAGAGGAAGCCCCGGCUAACUUCGUGCCAGCAGCCGCCGUAAAAC
rnacentral:rRNA from 1 species